rnacentral:rRNA from 1 species
AUGAACGCUAGCUACAGGCUUAACACAUGCAAGUCGAGGGGCAGCAUUUUAGUUUGCUUGCAAACUAAAGAUGGCGACCGGCGCACGGGUGAGUAACACGUAUCCAACCUGCCGAUAACUCGGGGAUAGCCUUUCGAAAGAAAGAUUAAUAUCCGAUAGUAUAUUAAAACCGCAUGGUUUUACUAUUAAAGAAUUUCGGUUAUCGAUGGGGAUGCGUUCCAUUAGUUUGUUGGCGGGGUAACGGCCCACCAAGACUACGAUGGAUAGGGGUUCUGAGAGGAAGGUCCCCCACAUUGGAACUGAGACACGGUCCAAACUCCUACGGGAGGCAGCAGUGAGGAAUAUUGGUCAAUGGACGAGAGUCUGAACCAGCCAAGUAGCGUGAAGGAUGACUGCCCUAUGGGUUGUAAACUUCUUUUAUAUGGGAAUAAAGUAUUCCACGUGUGGAAUUUUGUAUGUACCAUAUGAAUAAGGAUCGGCUAACUCCGUGCCAGCAGCCGCGGUAAUACGGAGGAUCCGAGCGUUAUCCGGAUUUAUUGGGUUUAAAGGGAGCGUAGGUGGAUUGUUAAGUCAGUUGUGAAAGUUUGCGGCUCAACCGUAAAAUUGCAGUUGAAACUGGCAGUCUUGAGUACAGUAGAGGUGGGCGGAAUUCGUGGUGUAGCGGUGAAAUGCUUAGAUAUCACGAAGAACUCCGAUUGCGAAGGCAGCUCACUAGACUGCAACUGACACUGAUGCUCGAAAGUGUGGGUAUCAAACAGGAUUAGAUACCCUGGUAGUCCACACAGUAAACGAUGAAUACUCGCUGUUUGCGAUAUACAGUAAGCGGCCAAGCGAAAGCAUUAAGUAUUCCACCUGGGGAGUACGUUCGCAAGAAUGAAACUCAAAGGAAUUGACGGGGACCCGCACAAGCGGUGGAGCAUGUGGUUUAAUUCGAAGCAACGCGAAGAACCUUACCAGGGCUUGACAUAUAGAUGAAUAACUAAGAGAUUAGUUAGUCCUUCGGGACAUCUAUACAGGUGGUGCAUGGUUGUCGUCAGCUCGUGUCGUGAGAUGUUGGGUUAAGUCCCGCAACGAGCGCAACCCUUAUUGCCAGUUACUACGUUAAGAGGACUCUGGCGAGACUGCCGUUGACAAAACGGAGGAAGGUGGGGAUGACGUCAAAUCAUCAUGCCCCUUAUGAUUUGGGCUACACACGUGCUACAAUGGCGUAAACAAAGGGAAGCGAACCUGCGAGGGUGGGCAAAUCCCAAAAAUAACGUCCCAGUUCGGACUGUAGUCUGCAACCCGACUACACGAAGCUGGAAUCGCUAGUAAUCGCAGAUCAGAAUGCUGCGGUGAAUACGUUCCCGGGCCUUGUACACACCGCCCGUCACACCAUGAGAGUCGGGAAUACCCGAAGCCUGUGAGCCAACAUAUUUAUAUGAGGCAGCAGUCGAAGGUAGAAUCGAUGAUUGGGGUG